GACGAACGCUGGCGGCGUGCUUAACACAUGCAAGUCGAACGAUGAAGCCUAGCUUGCUAGGUGGAUUAGUGGCGAACGGGUGAGUAAUACGUGAGUAACCUACCUUUAACUCUGGGAUAAGCCUGGGAAACUGGGUCUAAUACCGGAUACGACCAAUCUCCGCAUGGGGUGUUGGUGGGAAGCGUUAUGUAGUGGUUAUAGAUGGGCUCUCGGCCUAUCAGCUUGUUGGUGAGGUAACGGCACACCAAGGCGACGGCGGGUAGCCGGCCUGAGAGGGUGACCGGCCACACUGGGACUGAGACACGGCCCAGACUCCUACGGGACGCAACAGUGGAGAAUAUUGCACAAUGGGCGCAAGCCUGAUGCAGAGACGCCGCGUGCGUGAUGACGGCCUUCGGGUUGUAAACCUCUGUUAGCAGGGAAGAAGAGAAAUUGACGGUACCUGCAGAGAAAGCGCCGGCUAACUACGUG
rnacentral:rRNA from 1 species